rnacentral:lncRNA from 1 species
GGGCAGCGUUCUGGGAGGUCACCUACGACGUGUGUGCCCUCUCUUUACACCUGAAUCCCCUGUUGAACCUCAUGAUCCAGACAACAGAGGGAGAACUCAGAAGUUGUCCAGAAAGGAGCCAUUUUUCCAAGAGACACAUGAUUUUGUGCGGGUUGAGUUCCUAGUUUUAGUGCCAGAAAAACAAAAAUUUUUAAAGGUGAAGACUCACCUUGCUGACGGACACCAGAACCUUUGAGGACAUCAGAGUCAGAGCUGUGUCCAUGAUGACUCAGUGGACUCAGCAGCAUGGCAUGCAUGGUGGGACUCCUCAUGGUCACCCUGUGAAACUAGAAGAGACAUGGUCUAGAGCACUGGAAGUUCAGCUCCAGGAGGGCGGGGCUUUUUCCAGUUUGUUCGCCGCUCUGCCUGCAACACCAGGAACAAGGCUUAGCGCAUGUGCACAAAUACAGUUGUCCUUGUGACGUGUCCACUUGAAUGACUCUCAGAGAUUUCAACCUCACAAACGAAACUGGGUCUCUUGAUUCCUCUACCAACCCCCCCUGAAACCUGUUCCACUCUGGACCUCUCCAGCUGAGACCAGGAUGCUGAUAUCCACACAGCUGCCAAGCCAGAAACCUCAUUUAAGCAUUUUUAUUCAAAUAUAGUCUACAGAGCAUAAAAAGCGUAAAAUGGAUGCAUCUGAAGCAUACAGUUCAAGAAAUUUCUACUUAUGAAUACACUUGUGAUCAUUUUCAAGAUGCCAGAAGUUUCCCUUGUGACCUUCUGAGAGUCAUUGAUUCCUCCUUUUCCAUAUCUGAAUCUUCACCAAGUCCUGACUGUUGUUCCUCCAAAAUUUAUCUUGAACUUUUUCGCUUUUCUCCACCACAAUCAUCAAUCUCUAAUAACUUCUCUCCUCACUUCCACUUUUACCAGUUCAUUACCUCUACUGAACGAUCUUUAAGAAAUCAUCACCCUGAUCAUUGCACUUCCCUUCCUCAUCAACUUCCCUUUACACUUAGAAUAAAAUGGAAACUCAUUCUUGAGUCUUACAGUGAAUGCCCUUCAAAAGUAGUCCCUUGAAACCCUCCAACCUCUGCCUCACUCUGUUUCAAGCAUCCUAAUCCCUCUUCCUGUUCCAGUUCCUGGAAAAUGCCCUGGGGCCUUUUGCAUGUGCUGUUCCUUUGGUAUGAACGAUUUUCCUCUUCUUUCUUCUUCACUCUCACCCUACUUCCACUCCACACUCAUACCCUUAAGGGUACAUUAUCUUCACAUGGUUAGUUCCUUCUCAUCCUUCUUUCUCAGAUUAAAUAUCACCUGGCCAUAAAGAUUUUUCCUGCCCCAAAUCUAAAGCACAGCUCCCCAGUUACUCUCAGAGAGUUGUGUCUUUUUCCUUUACAGCAAUUUGCGAUUUAUGUAUUUAGGAGUUGCUUUUGGUUGUAUAUUGUCUAACUUCCCUGCUAACGGAAGCUCUUAGGGAAGCUCCAAGGAUAUUAUUUCAUUCCCUCCUGCUAGCAGCUAACAAUGCACCUGGCAUACAGUAAAAGUAUUUAGAAAAUAAUUGCUGAAUGAAUGAAUAAAUCAAUGAGUGUGUACUUGUCUCUGAGAACAAUGCAAAAGGGAG